ACUAGCAGUAAGAGUUUGAUCAUGGCUCAGAACGAACGCUGGCGGCAGGCCUAACACAUGCAAGUCGAACGCCCCGCAAGGGGAGUGGCAGACGGGUGAGUAACGCGUGGGAAUCUACCCAUCCCUACGGAACAACUCCGGGAAACUGGAGCUGAUACCGUAUACGUCCUUCGGGAGAAAGAUUUAUCGGGGAUGGAUGAGCCCGCGUUGGAUUAGCUGGUUGGUGGGGUAAUGGCCUACCAAGGCGACGAUCCAUAGCUGGUCUGAGAGGAUGAUCAGCCACACUGGGACUGAGACACGGCCCAGACUCCUACGGGAGGCAGCAGUAGGGAAUCUUGGACAAUGGGCGCAAGCCUGAUCCAGCCAUGCCGCGUAGGUGAUGAAGGCCCUAGGGUUGUAAAGCCCUUUCGGCGGGGAAGAUAAUGACGGUACCCGCAGAAGAAGCCCCGGCUAACUUCGUGCCAGCAGCCGCGGUAAUAC
rnacentral:rRNA from 1 species